AAUAUCUAUGGAAAUGAUGUCUUCCAUCUAGUGAUAGAGAACUGCAAUAUUGCUGAUGACGUCUAUAGUUUU
rnacentral:ncRNA from 2 species